CUUGCGUCACAUUAGUUAGUUGGUGGGGUAAAGGCCUACCAAGACUAUGAUGUGUAGCCGGGCUGAGAGGUUGAACGGCCACAUUGGGACUGAGACACGGCCCAAACUCCUACGGGAGGCAGCAGUAGGGAAUUUUCGGCAAUGGAGGAAACUCUGACCGAGCAACGCCGCGUGAACGAUGAAGUAUUUCGGUACGUAAAGUUCUUUUAUUAGGGAAGAAUAAAUGAUGGAAAAAUCAUUCUGACGGUACCUAAUGAAUAAGCCCCGGCUAACUAUGUGCCAGCAGCCGCGGUAAUACAUAGGGGGCAAGCGUUAUCCGGAAUUAUUGGGCGUAAAGGGUGCGUAGGCGGUUAAAUAAGUUUAUGGUCUAAGUGCAAUGCUCAACAUUGUGAUGCUAUAAAAACUGUUUAGCUAGAGUAAGAUAGAGGCAAGUGGAAUUCCAUGUGUAGUGGUAAAAUGCGUAAAUAUAUGGAGGAACACCAGUAGCGAAGGCGGCUUGCUGGGUCUUUACUGACGCUGAGGCACGAAAGCGUGGGGAGCAAACAGGAUUAGAUACCCUGGUAGUCCACGCCGUAAACGAUGAGUACUAAACGUUGGGUAAAACCAGUGUUGAAGUUAACACAUUAAGUACUCCGCCUGAGUAGUACGUACGCAAGUAUGAAACUUAAAGGAAUUGACGGGACUCCGCACAAGCGGUGGAUCAUGUUGUUUAAUUCGAAGGUACCCGAAAAACCUCACCAGGUCUUGACAUGCUUCUGCAAAGCUGUAGAAACACAGUGGAGGUUAUCAGUUGCACAGGUGGUGCAUGGUUGUCGUCAGCUCGUGUCGUGAGAUGUUGGGUUAAGUCCCGCAACGAGCGCAACCCUUAUUGUUAGUUACCAGCACGUAAUGGUGGGGACUUUAGCAAGACUGCCAGUGAUGAAUUGGAGGAAGGUGGGGACGACGUCAAAUCAUCAUGCCCCUUAUGACCUGGGCUACAAACGUGAUACAAUGGCUGUUACAAAGGGUAGCUGAAGCGCAAGUUUUUGGCGAAUCUCAAAAAAACAGUCUCAGUUCGGAUUGAAGUCUGCAACUCGACUUCAUGAAG
rnacentral:rRNA from 1 species